rnacentral:rRNA from 1 species
GACGAACGCUGGCGGCGUGCUUAACACAUGCAAGUCGAACGGAAAGGCCCUGCUUUUGUGGGGUGCUCGAGUGGCGAACGGGUGAGUAACACGUGAGUAACCUGCCCUUGACUUUGGGAUAACUUCAGGAAACUGGGGCUAAUACCGGAGAGGAGCUCCUGCUGCAUGGGGGGGGUUGGAAAGUUUCGGCGGUUGGGGAUGGACUCGCGGCUUAUCAGCUUGUUGGUGGGGUAGUGGCUUACCAAGGCUUUGACGGGUAGCCGGCCUGAGAGGGUGACCGGCCACAUUGGGACUGAGAUACGGCCCAGACUCCUACGGGAGGCAGCAGUGGGGAAUAUUGCACAAUGGGCGGAAGCCUGAUGCAGCAACGCCGCGUGCGGGAUGACGGCCUUCGGGUUGUAAACCGCUUUCGCCUGUGACGAAGCGUGAGUGACGGUAAUGGGUAAAGAAGCACCGGCUAACUACGUG